rnacentral:lncRNA from 1 species
ACAUUUUAAUAUUUUAUGAUGUAUUUAAAAGAGUAGUUAUUGUUGCAAACUCCAUUAGAAAUUUGAAUUGAUAUCAGUUUUGGAAAAAAGGGAAACGGGGAUGUGAAAAAAAGGGGGGGGGGUUAAAUUUUUCUCAUUUCAGAUUUCAUAAAUAAAAAGAAAAUUUCUUCAAACAUUUUUUUGAGAGGAUUAAUAUUCAACAGCAUAGUGAAUUGCUCAAAAGGCAAAAAAAAACUUUUAAGUUCAUUAGACCACAUUCAUUCUGUGUCAGAAACCUAUGCUGUGUCAACUAUUUAAUUUUAGAUUUAAAAAGUUUGAAGAAGAAAUCUUUAAUUGAUUUGUAAAAUCUUGACAUUUGUUUUGUGUAAAAAAAAACCCAUGUAAUGUCAAAAAUUUGAUCACAAUCCAAAUUCAGAGCUGUAUCACGCUUGAAUGUUUUGUCCAUACUUGCCCCAACUGUUCAGGGUUCGACCUCUGCGGUCGUAUAAAGCUGCGCCCUGCGGAGCACCUGGUUUAAUCUAUGAUAAGUUUUAGAAUAAUGUAAGAUGUUCUAAUAUUCAUCUAGGA